rnacentral:rRNA from 1 species
UACGUAGGGGGCAAGCGUUGUCCGGAAUUAUUGGGCGUAAAGCGCGCGCAGGCGGCCUUGUAAGUCUGUCGUUUAAACUCGGAGCUCAACUUCGAGUCGCGAUGGAAACUGCAAAGCUUGAGUGCAGAAGAGGAAAGUGGAAUUCCACGUGUAGCGGCGAAAUGCGUAGAGAUGUGGAGGAACACCAGUGGCGAAGGCGACUUUCUGGGCCUUACCUGACGCUCAGGCACGAAAGCUAGGGGAGCGAACAGG